GAUGAACGCUGACAGAAUGCUUAACACAUGCAAGUCGAUGGGGAAGUGGUGCUUGCACCAUGGCAACCAUGGCGGACGGGUGAGUAACGCGUAAGGGACUUACCUGCAGGACUGGGAUAACAGGGGGAAACUCCUGACAAGACCGGAUAAUGUCAUGGAGCUGCAUGGCUUUAUGAUGAAAGGAGACGCCUGCGGAGAGCCUUGCGUCCUAUUAGCUAGUUGGUGAGGUAAUGGCUCACCAAGGCGAAGAUAGGUAGCCGGCCUGAGAGGGUGGACGGCCACAAGGGGACUGAGAUACGGCCCUUACGCCUACGGGAGGAAGCAGUGGGGAAUAUUGGACAAUGGGGGCAACCCUGAUCCAGCAAUUCUGUGUGCACGAAGAAGGUUUUCGGAUUGUAAAGUGCUUUCAGCAGGGAAGAAGUAAGUGACGGUACCUGCAGAAGAAGCGACGGCUAAAUACGUG
rnacentral:rRNA from 1 species